rnacentral:lncRNA from 1 species
UUAUAUAAAUAUUAUAAAAUUUGAAUCUUGUGAGACUCUAACCUCAAUCGCACAACGUACAUCUCGUGCAUUAGGCGCGCUUUCCCCUAGUGGAUGCUAUAAUGACGAAAGAGAGACGUUGUUUUCUUGCAACUUGACUUUAAUCAGGAUUCUGCCAAUUAUUCUUACAUCAUUCGGACAACUGUUCUUCUUAAAAUUUAAAAGAACGUAAAGAAUAACUGAAGUUUAUAAAAGUUGAAGAAAUUUUCACAAGGAUUAGAACAGCCUGCGACCACAUCAUCGGCAGCCUGCCAUAAGAUAAUGACAUACUUGAAGAACUAGGAGAAAACUGAACUCAAAUGGAAGCGCUUGCACUCAUGUCACUAUCAUGUCCUGACAAUUUCGGAUUUUAUAAAACUAUAGGAGACGUGAUUGACGUUGAGAUUGUAAUUGACAGCUGGAGCAAAGCUAUAAUUUAGUUCAACAUUACGUGAAGUUUAUUUAAUGUUUUUCUCUUAUUUUCCCUCGUUUUUUAUGUUUUUAAAAAUUAUUUUUAAAAUAUAUUUACUAAUAAUCAUAAAGUAUAAUAUGUAUACAUUUGUUUAGAUAUAAGUUUAUU